rnacentral:rRNA from 1 species
UAAGUGAAGAGUUUGAUCCUGGCUCAGAGUGAACGCUGGCGGUAGGCCUAACACAUGCAAGUCGAACGGCAGCACAGAGGAGCUUGCUCCUUGGGUGGCGAGUGGCGGACGGGUGAGGAAUACAUCGGAAUCUACUCUGUCGUGGGGGAUAACGUAGGGAAACUUACGCUAAUACCGCAUACGACCUACGGGUGAAAGCAGGGGAUCUUCGGACCUUGCGCGAUUGAAUGAGCCGAUGUCGGAUUAGCUAGUUGGCGGGGUAAAGGCCCACCAAGGCGACGAUCCGUAGCUGGUCUGAGAGGAUGAUCAGCCACACUGGAACUGAGACACGGUCCAGACUCCUACGGGAGGCAGCAGUGGGGAAUAUUGGACAAUGGGCGCAAGCCUGAUCCAGCCAUACCGCGUGGGUGAAGAAGGCCUUCGGGUUGUAAAGCCCUUUUGUUGGGAAAGAAAUCCAGCUGGCUAAUACCCGGUUGGGAUGACGGUACCCAAAGAAUAAGCACCGGCUAACUUCGUGCCAGCAGCCGCGGUAAUACGAAGGGUGCAAGCGUUACUCGGAAUUACUGGGCGUAAAGCGUGCGUAGGUGGUCGUUUAAGUCCGUUGUGAAAGCCCUGGGCUCAACCUGGGAACUGCAGUGGAUACUGGGCGACUAGAAUGUGGUAGAGGGUAGCGGAAUUCCUGGU